CACGUAGGGCGCGAGCGUUGUCCGGAAUUAUUGGGCGUAAAGAGCUCGUAGGCGGCCUGUUGCGUCCGCUGUGAAAGCCCGGGGCUUAACCCCGGGCGUGCAGUGGAUACGGGCAGGCUGGAGGCAGGCAGGGGAGAACGGAAUUCCCGGUGUAGCGGUGAAAUGCGCAGAUAUCGGGAAGAACACCCGUGGCGAAGGCGGCUCUCUGGGACGGUACUGACGCUGAGACGCGAAAGCGUGGGGAGCGAACAGG
rnacentral:rRNA from 1 species